CCUCACCCAGCAGCAGUAGCAAGCGCAGCUUGCUUUUCUUCCUGAAUCAAAGGAAAAAGAAUGAAAAUGGAAAGAAGAGGGGGACUGAGCCAGAAGGACGAAGCAGAGAGGGAAAGGGGGGACCGAAUCGCGGCAGAGGAAAGGAGGGAGUUCGCUGUCGCGCCGCCAUCGUCUUCACCACGCCUCACCGUGGGUCGCGCUACUGUCGCCGGUCACCUCGCCGCCGUGCCCAGAUCGCGUCCAGUCCUCGUCACCGUCGCUCAUCCUCACCACCGCCAGCUGCGUUGUCCCUGCCAAGCUGCAGAACCUGCCUCGCUGCCGCGCCACCACGCCUUGCCAUGGAAUCGUCCUGCUGCUACCACUGUCACGGAGAAGAGGCGUUGAAGAGGGGCAGAACUCGAGUCUCGUUGCCGCCGUCCAUGGGGCCUCGAAUUGCGUCACUGUCACCGGCAAGAGGGGGAAGACGCGAGCUGGAGGAGCAAGAUGAGUUCUUCUGCCUCCAUGGUUCUGGUCCGCUGAGGAAGGGAAGAUGCUGCCUUGGUGCUUCACGGUCGCCGAAGAGCACGGAGGAGAGGAGCUGUGACCACGUCACUGCCCUUUAGGGCUAUGCUUGGCCGCCGUUGUACUGCCCUGCUUCACCGUGGCUGAGCUCUGCCACUCCCAGCCCCCUUUUGGCUUGUGAUGUUGCUGCGGGAAUCGCUACAGGAAGAAGAGCAGGCUAAGUCACCGUGAUUUGGGCCGCUGUGACUUCCGGGAUCACCGAAGGAGCUCCGGGCCGAGUUUCUCCAACAUGAGACCCUGCUGCCAUUGCCGAAAAAGUUUGCCGUUGAUCCACCAGAGCUUCUGGCCGCCGCCGGAGCUGUGCGGGGACCGGUUCGAAACUGCAGCUGCUUCGUGUUGUUAUUCCGAGUUGUUUAUGCUGCUGCGAAAAUGUGUGGGGCUGUGCUUUGAAGCUGCCUUUGAUUUUGAGUUGAGGUGAAAAGAACUUAUGAGACGCUUGGAUUAUGGAAUUGCGUUUUGAGGAUAUGGGCGCAGAAGUCACGAAGAGUUUAUUUAGUUAUUGAUAUGUUCUGUAUUGAUGUAGAUUAUUUAUUGUACCCUCGCCUUUAUCUUGAUAUAUUCUGUGAGAGGGAUAGGGAUUGUAUUGGUUAAUGCUUGUAAAUAU